rnacentral:rRNA from 1 species
UUAAAUUGAAGAGUUUGAUCAUGGCUCAGAUUGAACGCUGGCGGCAGGCCUAACACAUGCAAGUCGAGCGGUAGCACAGAGAGCUUGCUCUCGGGUGACGAGCGGCGGACGGGUGAGUAAUGUCUGGGAAACUGCCUGAUGGAGGGGGAUAACUACUGGAAACGGUAGCUAAUACCGCAUAAUGUCGCAAGACCAAAGUGGGGGACCUUCGGGCCUCAUGCCAUCAGAUGUGCCCAGAUGGGAUUAGCUAGUAGGUGGGGUAACGGCUCACCUAGGCGACGAUCCCUAGCUGGUCUGAGAGGAUGACCAGCCACACUGGAACUGAGACACGGUCCAGACUCCUACGGGAGGCAGCAGUGGGGAAUAUUGCACAAUGGGCGCAAGCCUGAUGCAGCCAUGCCGCGUGUGUGAAGAAGGCCUUCGGGUUGUAAAGCACUUUCAGCGGGGAGGAAGGCGAUAAGGUUAAUAACCUUGUCGAUUGACGUUACCCGCAGAAGAAGCACCGGCUAACUCCGUGCCAGCAGCCGCGGUAAUACGGAGGGUGCAAGCGUUAAUCGGAAUUACUGGGCGUAAAGCGCACGCAGGCGGUCUGUCAAGUCGGAUGUGAAAUCCCCGGGCUCAACCUGGGAACUGCAUUCGAAACUGGCAGGCUAGAGUCUUGUAGAGGGGGGUAGAAUUCCAGGUGUAGCGGUGAAAUGCGUAGAGAUCUGGAGGAAUACCGGUGGCGAAGGCGGCCCCCUGGACAAAGACUGACGCUCAGGUGCGAAAGCGUGGGGAGCAAACAGGAUUAGAUACCCUGGUAGUCCACGCCGUAAACGAUGUCGAUUUGGAGGUUGUGCCCUUGAGGCGUGGCUUCCGGAGCUAACGCGUUAAAUCGACCGCCUGGGGAGUACGGCCGCAAGGUUAAAACUCAAAUGAAUUGACGGGGGCCCGCACAAGCGGUGGAGCAUGUGGUUUAAUUCGAUGCAACGCGAAGAACCUUACCUGGUCUUGACAUCCACAGAACUUUCCAGAGAUGGAUUGGUGCCUUCGGGAACUGUGAGACAGGUGCUGCAUGGCUGUCGUCAGCUCGUGUUGUGAAAUGUUGGGUUAAGUCCCGCAACGAGCGCAACCCUUAUCCUUUGUUGCCAGCGGUUAGGCCGGGAACUCAAAGGAGACUGCCAGUGAUAAACUGGAGGAAGGUGGGGAUGACGUCAAGUCAUCAUGGCCCUUACGACCAGGGCUACACACGUGCUACAAUGGCAUAUACAAAGAGAAGCGACCUCGCGAGAGCAAGCGGACCUCAUAAAGUAUGUCGUAGUCCGGAUUGGAGUCUGCAACUCGACUCCAUGAAGUCGGAAUCGCUAGUAAUCGUAGAUCAGAAUGCUACGGUGAAUACGUUCCCGGGCCUUGUACACACCGCCCGUCACACCAUGGGAGUGGGUUGCAAAAGAAGUAGGUAGCUUAACCUUCGGGAGGGCGCUUACCACUUUGUGAUUCAUGACUGGGGUGAAGUCGUAACAAGGUAACCG